rnacentral:rRNA from 1 species
UGGGGAAUAUUGCACAAUGGGCGAAAGCCUGAUGCAGCGACGCCGCGUGAGUGAAGAAGUAUUUCGGUAUGUAAAGCUCUAUCAGCAGGGAAGAAAAUGACGGUACCUGACUAAGAAGCCCCGGCUAACUACGUGCCAGCAGCCGCGGUAAUACGUAGGGGGCAAGCGUUAUCCGGAUUUACUGGGUGUAAAGGGAGCGUAGACGGCGAAGCAAGUCUGAAGUGAAAACCCAGGGCUCAACCCUGGGACUGCUUUGGAAACUGUUUUGCUAGAGUGUCGGAGAGGUAAGUGGAAUUCCUAGUGUAGCGGUGAAAUGCGUAGAUAUUAGGAGGAACACCAGUGGCGAAGGCGGCUUACUGGACGACAACUGACGUUGAGGCUCGAAAGCGUGGGGAGCAAACAGG